rnacentral:SRP_RNA from 1 species
GGUCAGGACCUGCGCAAGGUCAGAUUGUGAAGUCCGCCAGGUUCGGAAGGAAGCAACGGUAAGCAGACCCUGGUCUGUGCCGCAGCCAUCCUGAUCGUU